rnacentral:rRNA from 1 species
GUUAUAUGGUCAAGUGACUAAGCGCAUACGGUGGAUGCCUAGGCGGUAGAAGGCGAUGAAGGACGUGGUAGUCUGCGAUAAGCCUCGGGGAGUCGACAAACUGGCUUUGAUCCGAGGAUUUCCGAAUGGGGAAACCCACCUCUUUGAGGUAUCUGCACCUGAAUACAUAGGGUGUCGAAGCGAACCCGGAGAACUGAAACAUCUAAGUACCCGGAGGAAAAGAAAUCAACCGAGAUUCCCUUAGUAGCGGCGAGCGAACGGGGAUCAGCCCUUAAGCUGAAUUCUGGUUAGUGGAACACUUUGGGAAGAGUGGCCAUAGUGGGUGAUAGCCCCGUACACGAAAGCCAGUUUGCAGUGAAAACGAGUAGGGCGGGACACGUGUUAUCCUGUCUGAAUAUGGGGGGACCAUCCUCCAAGGCUAAAUACUCUCUACCGACCGAUAGUGAACCAGUACCGUGAGGGAAAGGCGAAAAGAACCCCGGCGAGGGGAGUGAAAUAGAACCUGAAACCGUAUGCGUACAAGCAGUGGGAGCCCCUUCGGGGGUGACUGCGUACCUUUUGUAUAAUGGGUCAGCGACUUACUUUCAGUGGCGAGGUUAACCGUUUAGGGGAGCCGUAGGGAAACCGAGUCUUAAUAGGGCGUUUUAGUCGCUGGGAGUAGACCCGAAACCGGGCGAUCUAUCCAUGGCCAGGUUGAAGGUGGGGUAACACCCACUGGAGGACCGAACCGGGAUCUGUUGAAAAAGAUUCGGAUGAGCUGUGGAUCGGAGUGAAAGGCUAAUCAAGCCCGGAGAUAGCUGGUUCUCCUCGAAAGCUAUUUAGGUAGCGCCUCGUGUCUCACUCUCGGGGGUAGAGCACUGUUUCGGCUAGGGGCCCAUCCCGGGUUACCAAACCGAUGCAAACUCCGAAUACCGAGAAGUGCAAUCACGGGAGACACACGGCGGGUGCUAACGUCCGUCGUGGAAAGGGAAACAACCCAGACCGCCAGCUAAGGUCCCAAAAUCUCAGCUUAGUGGGAAACGAUGUGGGAAGGCACAGACAGCCAGGAGGUUGGCUUAGAAGCAGCCAUCCUUUAAAGAAAGCGUAAUAGCUCACUGGUCGAGUCGGCCUGCGCGGAAGAUUUACCGGGGCUCAAGCUGAGUACCGAAGCUGCGGAUCCGUACUUUGUACGGGUGGUAGAGGAGCGUUCCGUAAGCCUGUGAAGGUGAAUCGUAAGGUUUGCUGGAGGUAUCGGAAGUGCGAAUGCUGACAUGAGUAACGAUAAGACGGGUGAAAAACCCGUCCGCCGAAAACCCAAGGUUUCCUGCGCAACGUUAAUCGGCGCAGGGUGAGUCGGCCCCUAAGGCGAGGCUGAGAAGCGUAGUCGAUGGGAAACAGGUUAAUAUUCCUGUACCGAUUUGUAGUGCGAUGGGGUGACGGAGAAGGCUAGGUUAUCCGGGCGUUGGUUGUCCCGGUUCAAGCGUGUAGGGAGUCCUCUUAGGUAAAUCCGGGAGGGCAAUCCUGAGACGUGAUGUCGAGGUCCUACGGGACCGAAGUAAUUGAUGCCAUGCUUCCAAGAAAAGCCUCUAAGCUUCAGCUACAAAUCGACCGUACCCCAAACCGACACAGGUGGGUGAGGAGAGAAUCCUAAGGCGCUUGAGAGAACUCGGGUAAAGGAACUAGGCAAAAUAGUACCGUAACUUCGGGAGAAGGUACGCCCGCCGGCGUGGUGACGUGCGUAGCUGAGCGUUGGGGGGUCGCAGUGACCAGGCCGCUGCGACUGUUUAUCAAAAACACAGCACUCUGCAAACACGAAAGUGGACGUAUAGGGUGUGACGCCUGCCCGGUGCCGGAAGGUUAAUUGAUGGGGUCAGCCGCAAGGCGAAGCUCUUGAUCGAAGCCCCGGUAAACGGCGGCCGUAACUAUAACGGUCCUAAGGUAGCGAAAUUCCUUGUCGGGUAAGUUCCGACCUGCACGAAUGGCGUAACGAUGGCGGCGCUGUCUCCACCCGAGACUCAGUGAAAUUGAAAUCGCUGUGAAGAUGCAGUGUACCCGCGGCAAGACGGAAAGACCCCGUGAACCUUUACUACAGCUUUGCACUGAACAUUGAACCUACAUGUGUAGGAUAGGUGGGAGGCUUUGAAGACGUGACGCUAGUUGCGUUGGAGCCGUCCUUGAAAUACCACCCUUGUAUGUUUGAUGUUCUAACUUAGCCCCGUUAUCCGGGGUGAGGACAGUGCCUGGUGGGUAGUUUGACUGGGGCGGUCUCCUCCCAAAGAGUAACGGAGGAGUACAAAGAUACCCUCAAUACGGUCGGAAAUCGUAUGUAGAGUGCAAAGGCACAAGGGUGUUUGACUGCGAGACCUACAAGUCGAGCAGGUACGAAAGUUGGUCUUAGUGAUCCGGUGGUUCUGUAUGGAAGGGCCAUCGCUCAACGGAUAAAAGGUACUCCGGGGAUAACAGGCUGAUACCGCCCAAGAGUUCAUAUCGACGGCGGUGUUUGGCACCUCGAUGUCGGCUCAUCACAUCCUGGGGCUGAAGCCGGUCCCAAGGGUAUGGCUGUUCGCCAUUUAAAGUGGUACGCGAGCUGGGUUUAGAACGUCGUGAGACAGUUCGGUCCCUAUCUGCCGUGGGCGUUAGAGAUUUGAGGGAAGCUGCUCCUAGUACGAGAGGACCGGAGUGGACGUACCCCUGGUGUUCCGGUUGUCACGCCAGUGGCAUUGCCGGGUAGCUACGUACGGACGGGAUAACCGCUGAAAGCAUCUAAGCGGGAAGCCCCUCCCAAGAUGAGAUCUCUCUGGGUACUUGAUACCCCUAAAGGGCCCUUGAAGACUACAAGGUUGAUAGGCUGGGUGUGGAAGCGCAGUAAUGCGUGCAGCUAACCAGUACUAAUUGCCCGUGAGGCUUGACCAUAUAACACCCAAG